rnacentral:ncRNA from 1 species
AUCGAAGAGGCGCAGCCAACACCAGUAGACUGACGGAGUCCCUGCCGGACGAUGAAGUGAGUUGAACAGGGCGGCUGCCGAAGCACUUGGCCGGGCAGCGGCCAGGUUAGCUGGGGCGCGGCUGAAUAAGUCACGGACUGUCGCGGGACGAA